UGAUAAAUUCGGCCAUGUUGCAUAAACAGGAGCAAAUUUUAUUUCACGCUUUUACGAAAUUAUGAAACCCUUAGCAUAAACAUAGUAUAUAAAAGACCGCAAUUAUGGGCAACCAGAACUAUUUGGUUUCCCAUCACGAUAAUGAACCAGUUCACGAUUUACUCGUUCUUAGUGACCAUUUCGGUAAAUAUUCGAUGCGUGUCGUUCCGCACCCACCGUAUUUGUCUGGAUUGGAAUAAACGUUGACAUAAGAUUGUUUUAUCGGAAGGAGACUACUUUAAAGAGAAUGAAACUGGUUGAAAGAAUAAAUUUAAAAAUUUCAUUUCAGAAAUAAAUUCACCUUACUGUUCUGUCCACAAUAACCAGCGCUAUCUCAACCCUAUCUCAGAUCGGCUAACAGUUUCACUAGUCGAAUUCUUUGUAGUCGGACCGAAGAUUCAGCAUUCACCCACAAUGCAUCUAGCAUGGUC